rnacentral:tRNA from 3 species
UCCGGAAUCGUCUAAUGGUAGGACAUCGCCCUCUGGAGGCGAGUAUCUUGGUUCGACUCCAAGUUCCGGAGCCA